GGGGAUAUGGCGAAAUUGGUAGACGCUACGGACUUAAAUCUUUUGAUCUUAUCCUAAUUUGGUUUGAAUGGAUACGAUACCUGUACAA
rnacentral:tRNA from 13 species